rnacentral:rRNA from 1 species
GACAGAGGGUGCAAACGUUGUUCGGAAUUACUGGGCGUAAAGCGCGUGUAGGCGGCCUUGCAAGUCGGAUGUGAAAGCCCUCGGCUCAACCGGGGAAGUGCACCCGAAACUGCAAGGCUCGAGUUCCGGAGAGGAUAGUGGAAUUCUCGGUGUAGAGGUGAAAUUCGUAGAUAUCGGGAGGAACACCUGUGGCGAAAGCGGCGCACUGGACCACUACUGACGCUGAGGCGCGAAAGCUAGGGGAGCAAACAGG